rnacentral:rRNA from 1 species
GGGCGUAAACUGCUUUUAUACGGGAAGAACACCUCCUUCAGGGAGGUCUGACGGUACCGUACGAAUAAGGACCGGCUAACUCCGUGCCAGCAGCCGCGGUAAUACGGAGGGUCCAAGCGUUGUCCGGAAUCACUGGGUGUAAAGGGUGCGCAGGCGGGCGUGUAAGUCAGGGGUGAAAGCCACCGGCCUAACCGGUGAAUUGCCCUUGAUACUGCACGUCUUGAGUCCCGGAGAGGCUAUCGGAAUUCGUGGUGUAGCGGUGAAAUGCGUAAAUAUCACGAGGAACACCUGAUGCGUAGGCGGAUAGCUGGACGGGUACUGACGCUCAGGCACGAAAGCGCGGGGAGCGAACAGGAUUAGAUACCCUGGUAGUCCGCGCCGUAAACGAUGGAUGCUCGAUGUUGCACCGCUUCAGGUGCAGUGUCCAAGCUAACGCGUUAAGCAUCCCACCUGGGGAGUACGAUCGCAAGGUUGAAACUCAAAGGAAUUGACGGGGGCCCGCACAAGCGGUGGAGCAUGUGGAUUAAUUCGAUGCNACGCGAAGAACCUUACCCAGGCUCGAACGCUACUGGACAGGCCCCGAAAAGGGCCCUUCUUCGGACCGGUAGCGAGGUGCUGCAUGGCUGUCGUCAGUUCGUGUCGUGAGAUGUUGGGUUAAGUCCCGCAACGAACGC